rnacentral:rRNA from 1 species
UCCGUAGGUGAACCUGCGGAGGGAUCAUUACAGAGUUCAUGCCCUUACGGGUAGAUCUCCCACCCUAUGUUAUUAUUACUUUGUUGCUUUGGCGGGCCGUUAGGCUCUUGGCCCGACUACCGGCUUCGGCUGAUAAGCGCCCGCCAGAGGACCCCUAAACUCUGAAUAUUUUUGUCGUCUGAGUACUAUAUAAUAGUUAAAACUUUCAACAACGGAUCUCUUGGUUCUGGCAUCGAUGAAGAACGCAGCGAAAUGCGAUAAGUAAUGUGAAUUGCAGAAUUCAGUGAAUCAUCGAAUCUUUGAACGCACAUUGCGCCCCUUGGUAUUCCGAGGGGCAUGCCUGUUCGAGCGUCAUUUGUACCCUCAAGCUUUGCUUGGUGUUGGGCGUCUUGUCUCCAGUUCGCUGGAGACUCGCCUUAAAGUAAUUGGCAGCCGGCCUACUGGUUUCGGAGCGCAGCACAAGUCGCGCUCUCUUCCAGCCAAGGUCAGCAUCCACAAAGCCUUUUUUCAACUUUUGACCUCGGAUCAGGUAGGGAUACCCGCUGAACUUAAGCAUAUCAAUAAGCGGAGGGAAGUCGGACUGGCCAAGGGGCACACCAGGGGGGGGGGAUA